GACUGAAACAAAUCACCCCCUCUUUCCUUUUCCCAAGUCACACAUGCCCAGCGGCUGAGAGUUAACAAGCAAGUGACAGCAAAUCAAGGCUGGGCCGAGACCUCCGCGUUUAAAAAUAAGUGUCUGGACUUCCAGGAAGCUUGUUUUGUCUCCUUCUGGCCCCAUCCCCACACUCCCUCCCUGCUUUACUGUCUCUUCGGGGAAGGGAGUGGGCUGGAGUCGUCCCCGGUGAGCAGAAAGGGUUAAUUGCCUCUUGGGUGGAUUAUACCACCCCUGCGAGCUCGCUUGCGGUGUUCUAGGGCUUUUCCUCCACUUUCUUCUCUCUUGCAGGCCGAUUAAACACUCUUUGAGUUGGAACCGGGUUUUGUGUCACAACAGCGCAGCCGCUGCCGGCUGGGUGCCAGGCAGGGAAUAUGCACCGUAUUGAAAUGGGAUGGCUCGGGCCAGGGCCCCCGGAAGGGCCCGGAGCGCUGUUGAGAUGGAGAAGAGCCGCCACUUGGCUCCUUCUAGAGACAAGUCCUCUGAAGCUGAUUCUCGCACCUCCUGGAAGCCAGCUGUGCUGCUCUUGCAAAGUUACGAAGGAAUGUCCUGGCACAGAGAGGAGGGGAGCUAGGGUAGAGCUGUGUGGCCUGAAGGAUUUGGCAGAACAAAGCCCCACCAAGAGAGGCCUGGCGGUUUCACUUUGUUUUCACUGACAUACAUGCCCUUCCUCAGUGAAGCCCAGUCCAGGCCUGUUUGAGAAAGACGUUUCUAGAGUUUGGACACCUUUGAACAACAGCCAGUUCCAUCCAGCGAGGAAGGAGAGCAACAUUUUCAAAGCCUUGGACAGAGCUGUGAUACGCCUUCCGAAAAUCGAUGGCCUGAGAGCCCGGAGGAGGGCCAGGCCCAACAACGGUGUCCUCGGAAGCCUCCUGAGAGGCAGGGUGGGUGGCGGCCAGCAGCAGUGGCACUCACGGACCUGCAUCCUAGGGAGAAGGGCAAGACGAGUGUGGUCAGGACUUUUAUGGCCUGCUGCCUUUGACAAAUGAAGAUGGUUAGCAGAAUGAGUUCACCAGCAAAGAAAGCACAACUCACAGGGAAACCAUGAGCCCACCAAGAAGUGCAUUUUUGUCUCCAUGGCUGCACAUCAUCAUCAAGGCAGAGAAAACAGGGCCCUGUGUGCAUAACCUGGUUCCCCACAUACUGGUUCCUGUGGUUGGCCAAAAAAUGCCCUCCCAGAAUUAUCCACGUCCUGAUCCCUGGAACCUCUAAGUACCUUAUAUGGCAAAAGGGAUUCUGCAGAUGUGAUUACAGUCCGGAUGUUGAGUUGGGGAGUAUGUCCUGGGUUAUCCAGGUGGGCCCUAAAUGUAAUCACAAGUGCCCUCAUCAGGGGGAGGCAGAGGGAGAUUUGACUACAGAAGAGCAGAAACCAUGUGUUGGCUGAAGCCGAGACUGGAGAGAUGAGUUUUGAAGAUGGAGGCAGGGGCCGUGAGCCAAGGAAUACAGGAGGCCACUAGAAGCCGGCAAAGUAAGGAAACAAACUUCCCCCAGAGCCUCCAGCUCUGCUGAAACCUUGGAUUUAGCCCUGCGAAACUGAUUUCA
ensembl:lincRNA